rnacentral:rRNA from 1 species
GUGGGGAAUAUUGGAUAAUGGGCGAAAGCCUGAUCCAGCCAUGCCGCGUGUGUGAAGAAGGUCUUCGGAUUGUAAAGCACUUUAAGUUGGGAGGAAGGGCAGUAAGUUAAUACCUUGCUGUUUUGACGUUACCGACAGAAUAAGCACCGGCUAACUUCGUGCCAGCAGCCGCGGUAAUACGAAGGGUGCAAGCGUUAAUCGGAAUUACUGGGCGUAAAGCGCGCGUAGGUGGUUUUGUAAGUUGGAGGUGAAAUCCCCGGGCUCAACCUGGGAACUGCCUCCAAAACUGCAUGACUAGAGUACGGUAGAGGGUAGUGGAAUUUCCUGUGUAGCGGUGAAAUGCGUAGAUAUAGGAAGGAACACCAGUGGCGAAGGCGACUACCUGGACUGAUACUGACACUGAGGUGCGAAAGCGUGGGGAGCAAACAGGAUUAGAUACCCUUGUAGUCC